rnacentral:rRNA from 1 species
GAUGAACGCUGGCGGCGUGCCUAAUACAUGCAAGUCGAGCGAACAGACGAGGAGCUUGCUCCUCUGACGUUAGCGGCGGACGGGUGAGUAACACGUGGAUAACCUACCUAUAAGACUGGGAUAACUUCGGGAAACCGGAGCUAAUACCGGAUAAUAUAUUGAACCGCAUGGUUCAAUAGUGAAAGACGGUUUUGCUGUCACUUAUAGAUGGAUCCGCGCCGCAUUAGCUAGUUGGUAAGGUAACGGCCUACCAAGGCAACGAUGCGUAGCCGACCUGAGAGGGUGAUCGGCCACACGGGAACUGAGACACGGUCCAGACUCCUACGGGAGGCAGCAGUAGGGAAUCUUGCGCAAUGGGCGAAAGCUUGACGGAGCAACGCCGCGUGAGUGAUGAAGGUCUUCGGAUCGUAAAACUCUGUUAUUAGGGAAGAACAAAUGUGUAAGUAACUAUGCCCGUCUUGACGGUACCUAAUCAGAAAGCAACGGCUAACUACGUG